GAGAGGUUUUAAUAGCUGGGUUCAAGAGAGGUUUUAAUAGCUGGGUUCAAGAGAGGUUUUAAUAGCUGGGUUUACAAGAGGUUUUAAUAGCUGGGUUCAAGAGAGGUUUUAAUGGCUGGGUUCAAGAGAGGUUUUAAUGGCUGGGUUUACAAGAGGUUUUAAUAGCUGGGUUUACAAGAGGUUUUAAUAGCUGGGUUUACAAGAGGUUUUAAUAGCUGGGUUUACAAGAGGUUUUAAUAGCUGGGUUUACAAGAGGUUUUAAUAGCUGGGUUCAAGAGAGGUUUUAAUAGCUGGGUUUACAAGAGGUUUUAAUAGCUGGGUUUACAAGAUGUUUUAAUAGCUGGGUUCAAGAGAGGUUUUAAUAGCUGGGUUCAAGAGAGGUUUUAAUAGCUGGGUUUACAAGAGGUUUUAAUAGCUGGGUUCAAGAGAGGUUUUAAUAGCUGGGUUCAAGAGAGGUUUUAAUGGCUGGGUUUACAAGAGGUUUUAAUAGCUGGGUUCAAGAGAGGUUUUAAUAGCUGGGUUUACAAGAGGUUUUAAUAGCUGGGUUCAAGAGAGGUUUUAAUAGCUGGGUUUACAAGAGGUUUUAAUAGCUGGGUUCAAGAGAGGUUUUAAUGGGUGGGUUUACAAGAGGUGUUAAUGGCUGGAUUUUCAAGAGGUUUUAAUGGCUGGGUUUACAAGAGGUUUUAAUAGCUGGGUUUACAAGAGGUUUUAAUGGCUGGGUUUACAAGAGGUUUUAAUAGCUGGGUUCAAGAGGUUUUAAUAGCUGGGUUCAAGAGGUUUUAAUAGCUGGGUUCAAGAGAGGUUUUACUGGCUGGGUUUACAAGAGGUUUUAAUGGCUGGGUUUACAAGAGGUUUUAAUAGCUGGGUUUACAAGAGGUUUUAAUAGCUGGGUUCAAGAGAGGUUUUACUGGCUGGGUUUACAAGAGGUUUUAAUAGCUGGGUUCAAGAGAGGUUUUAAUGGCUGGGUUUACAAGAGGUUUUAAUAGCUGGGUUUACAAGAGGUUUUAAUAGCUGGGUUUACAAGAGGUUUUAAUAGCUGGGUUUACAAGAGGUUUUAAUAGCUGGGUUUACAAGAGGUUUUAAUGGCUGGGUUUACAAGAGGUUUUAAUAGCUGGGUUCAAGAGAGGUUUUAAUGGCUGGGUUUACAAGAGGUUUUACUGGCUGGGUUUACAAGAGGUUUUAAUGGCUGGGUUUACAAGAGGUUUUAAUGGUACAUAUCUACUGAAUGUUGCUGUGUUACAUAUCUUGACAUGCUCUCAGGGUAAGGAGUGUUCUGAUAUGGUGCCUUCCCCCUCCCCCAGCACCUGUCAGACCUGGAGACUCCCCCCUGAGCCUGACGGUGGAGCUGUAGGCCCUGCACCAGACCCCCACACCCCCCCACACCACCCACAGCAGGGGCAGGGCGUUGAGACUCCCCCCACAGCCUAAGACAGGGAGGGACUUGAAGAUCCAGGGUUUUGUCAUCUGCACAGAAAUUGACACAUGGUAUUUGGGAGCAGCGAGUAGCAGGCUUUUUUUUAAUAUAGUUUCCUUUUUUGUGUGUGCCCUUGAGCUGUCUCCUUUGUUGUAGAAAAAAAAUACUUGGCAAGGCUUUCAUAGGUGUUUGGGGCAUUUCCAGGGGUAGUUUAAUGACCCUGGUGGUAGUCUGACCCUUCCUCUGUGCAAUGAACUUGAAAAAACGCUCAUAAAAAGGCAGAUAUUAACCCAGUAGCAGCGGGGAUCAUGUUUCUUAAUGGUCCCUCCAAGCGAGAAAAAUGAGAAAAAACCGCCCCUCACACAAACCAUUUCAUAUAUCUCAAAGCAUUUGCGAUCAGAUUAUGUAUCAUCUAUUUUUUUGGGGUUUAUAUCAUGGCACAAAUUUGGCCUGUCGCUACUACACGGUAAAGCCACAAAUUUGGCCCAUCACUGCUACCGGGUUAACCUCAUUAUCGUGUUAAAAUCCCUGUAUCUCACUGUUAUCUUCCUCUCCCUCUAUAUUAUUUAUCAAUCUCUCUUUCUCUCUCUCCCACAGAUGUCUAAGGUUUCGCCCAUGCAGCUGAAGGGUGCCAAUGCCUACACAUGCAUCGACCACAGGUGUGCGCUGGACAUUGCCUACAAUUCAUGGUUCAAAUGGUAUGUUGGAGGAAUUCUUUGAUGUAUUUGAGGGACUGGGAUGCCUGCUGGAUGGUACAGGUAAAUUACUUGGCUCACAACUGAGAGAGCCCGGGUUUGAUUCCCGGGCAGAGUGGAAAAAUUUGGGCGGCUUUUCCGAUACCCUACGCCCCUGUCCACCCAGCAGUGAAUGGGUACCAGGUAUUAAUCGGGGGUUGUGUCCCGUCUCCUGGGGUCUGUUCCCUUCUCCUAUAAUCCUUUCCUCUUCUGUCUCUCUCCGGCAUAUGACCACAGAUGUUACACCCACUAAACAAAACUUUCCUUCCUUCCCCUUGUCUCUCUCCGGCAUAUGACCACAGAUGUUGCACCCACUAAACAAAACUUUCCUUCCUUCCCCUUCUGUCUCUCUCCGGCAUAUGACCACAGAUGUUGCACCCACUAAAAACUUUCCUUCCUUCCCCUUCUGUCUCUCUCCGGCAUAUGACCACAGAUGUUGCGCCCACUAAACAAAACUUUCCUUCCUUCCCCUUCUGUCUCUCUCCAGCAUAUGACCACAGAUGUUGCACCCACUAAACAAAACUUUCCUUCCUUCCCCUUCUGUCUCUCUCCAGCAUAUGACCACAGAUGUUGCACACACUAAACAAAACUUUCCUUCCUUCCCCUUCUGUCUCUCUCCAGCAUAUGACCACAGAUGUUGCACCCACUAAACAAAACUUUCCAACUUUCCAACAGUUGAAUUACAGUUUGGUCCAAGUGCUGUCCCUGUGGCUCACCCUCCUAGAGAAAUACCUGUUGCUCUGAGGGAUAAACUUAAGAAGGAAUUAGACCAUAUGGAAAGACUAGGUGUCAUUGUUGAAGAAAAUGAACCCACAGAUUGGCUCAAUAGUAUGGUUAUUACAUGUGGCAUCCUUGUGUGUUACAGCUAAUAUAUAUACUGUGUCAUCUGCAUAUAAAAGUCAUGGAUAGGAAACACUAAUUGACAUACCAUUUACAUAACAUAAGAAUAAAAUAGCUCCCAGGAUUUAUAUAUAUUUAUUUGUUUUCUUUUAAUCAAGGUUUUAGUAAGAAGAGGAACCCUGUACCCUGCCUCCCACUACACACACACACACACACACACACACAC